GGGAUUAAAGGGAAGACCGAAAGGUUGGCAGAGAACUCAACGUAAAUAACAUUUAAGACAUUGCAAAGUACAACUGAAAUUAAUAACCCUGUUCACAGGAUGAGGGAUAGAUAGCUUUAGGUAAAGAAUGCAGAACUGUGGAUCUGAGAGAUGCUCAGAUGGGUAAAGAGGUCGGCUGACAAGCCUGACAACCUGAGGUCCAUUCUGAGAAGUGGGGGAAGAAGUGACACGGUGCGGGGAAGACAUGACACCUACAGCUGCCCUCUGAUUUUCACAUGUGAACCCUUUUGCAUCUGUACCUUCCCCUACGUAAUAAAUGUAAUUCUUUAAUUAUAGGUCUAUUGGCCCCCAAGUUGCUGAAAACUCACAACAAUCCCAAAACAACCAAAAAGGAAGGGAAAGGAACAAAAACAAAACAACAACAACAAAAAAAAAAACAAAACAAAAAACCUUCACCAGUACUAUAAGAUAUAUUAUCUUCCAUUUGCUGAAAUAAAGAAAGAAAUGUUGCUUUAAAAUCCUAUGUCCACGCAGCUUUUAUUACUCUGUGGUGUAGCUUGGAGCCAGGGAUGGUGAUGCCUCCAGAAGUUGUUUUAUUGUACAGGAUUGUUUUAGCUAUCCUGGGUUUUUGUUGUUCCAUAUGAAGUUGAGAAUUGCUCUUUCCAUGUCUAUGAAGAAUCGUGUUGGAAUUUCAAUGGGAACUGAUUUGAAUCUGUAGAUUGCUUUUAGUAAGGUGGCCAUUUUUACUAUGUUAAUCCUGAUCUGUGAUCAUGCAAGAUCUUUCCAUCUUCUGAGGUCUUCUUCAAUCUAUUUCUUCAGGGACUUGAAUUUCUUGUCAUGCAGGUCUUUCACUUGCUUGGUUAGUGUUACAUCAAGACAUGUUAUAUUAUUUGUGGCUAUUGUGAAGAACAUGAUUUCUCAAUUUCUUUCUCAUCCCUUUUGUCAUUUGUAUAAAGGAAAGCUACUGAUUUGUUAGAGUUAAUUUUGUAUCCAGCCACUUAGCUGAAGUUAUCAGCUGUAGGAGCUCUCUGGUAGAAUUUUUGGAGUCACUUAUGUAUACAUAUCAUCUGCAAAUAGUAAUACUUUGAUGUCUUCCUUUCCAAUUUGUAUCCCUUCGAUCUCUUUUUGUUGUCUUAUUGCUCUGGUUAGAACUUCAAGUACUAUUGAAUAGAUAGGGGGAGAGUGGGCAGCCUUGUCUUGUCCCUGAUUUUAGUGAAAUUGCUUUAUGUUUCUCUCCAUUUAAUUUGAUUUUGGCUGUUGGCUUGCUGUAUAUUGUUUUGUGUUUAGAUAUAUGCUUUGAAUCUCUGAUCUCUCCAAGACUUUUAACAUGAAGAAGAUUUUGUCAAACUGCAUCCAAUUAGAUGAUCAUGUGGGGUGUGGGGAGCCGCCCUCACAUUCGCCGUUACAAGAUGGCGCUGACAUCCUGUGUUCUAAGUGGUAAACAAAUAAUCUGCGCAUGUGCCAAGGGUAGUUCUUCACUCCAUGUGCUCUGCCUUCCCCAUGACGACAACUCGGCCAAUGGGCUGCAGCCAAUCAGGGAGCGACACGUCCUAGGCGGAGGAUAAUUCUCCUUAAAAGGGAUGGGGUUUUGCCAUUCUCUCUCUUGCUCCUGAAGAUGUAAGUAAUAAAGCUUUUGCCGCAGAAGAUUCUGGCUUGUUGCGUCUUUCCUGGCCGGUCGAGCGCGGGUAAUAGUGGGGUUUUUUGUUUCAGUUUAUAUGGUAUAUUUAUGUUGAUGUAUUUUCAUAUAUUGAAUCACCCCUCCAUCCCUAGGAUGAAGCCUACUUGAUCGUGGUGGAUGAUAUCUUUGAUGUGUUCUGUAUUUGGUUUGUGAGUAUUUUAUUGAGUAUUUUUGCAUCAUAUAUGGGCUUCAUAAGGGAAAUUGGUCUGAAAUUCUCUUUCUUUGUGGAGUCUUUGUGUGGGUACCAGGGUAAGUACCAGAGUAACUGUGGCCUCACAGAAUGAGUUUGGCAAUGUUCCUUCUGUUUCUAUUUUGUGGAAUAGUUUGAGAUGUAUUGGCAAUACCUCUUUGAAAGUCUGGUAGAAUUCUGCACUAAAACUAUAUGGCCCUGGGCAUUUUCCUUUUCGAGGCAUUGAAUGACUGCUUCUAUUUCCUUCAGGGUUAUAAGACUGUUUAGAUUGUUUACCUGAUAUUGAUUUAAUUUAGGUAAGUGGAAUCUAUCAGAGUAUGUGUAUGUGAAUAAUAGCAAUAAUAAUGUCUUUAGGAUUAGCCGGAAUAUAGAAGGAAAAGGUAGUAUGUAAGCUAGAAGGAACUUACACAGUGUCAAAGUCUAAAGCAUUUUUUAUGAAGAGAGCUGCAGCUUCAUGGAAAAACAAUAUUGAAGAAAACCAGGAUGUCCCUUACAGUCAUUAAACUGAAGGGAGCUCAACUUCCAUGUUGAAAGAGUAUAAAAUGAAAUUGUCAUAAAUAAUAGUCACUCUUAAUAAAAAGCAGUCUCUCUGUCUCUGUCUGUAUCUAUCUCUCUGUCUCCCUCUGCUUUCACAGACAAAAAAGAGUAACUUGAAAGAUAAUGGUAACAUGGUAGGAAAUAUGUCUAAAUCAUUAGGUGUCACAUCAAGUAAAAAAUGAGCCCCAGUCUUUGCUUCCAGCAAAGAUGAAAUAACAGGAACCAAGCUUAUUCUCCUUCCUUAAGCAAUCAAAAAAAAAAAAAUGGGGGAAACAAUUUGUGAAGAUGCUGGUAACCAGUCAACUGAAAGCAGUGGUCUUUGAAAGACCAUAUGAUGACAAAUGAGCUACAACACUUUCUCCACCAAACCUGCCACAGGGAGAGAACUUUCAGGCAUGGGCAGGGAACUCGGCUCUUCCUUGAGGACAGGAGAUGCAUAUGAGGGUAUAAAAGUGGAUAAGAACUUUCAAAAAAGAGGGCUAGGGAGGAAAGAUCUGC
rnacentral:lncRNA from 1 species